CGGCAGCACGGGGGCACCCUGGUGGCGAGUGGCGAACGGGUGAGUAAUACAUCGGAACGUGUCCUGUAGUGGGGGAUAGCCCGGCGAAAGCCGGAUUAAUACCGCAUACGAUCUACGGAGGAAAGCGGGGGAUCUUCGGACCUCGCGCUAUAGGGGCGGCCGAUGGCAGAUUAGCUAGUUGGUGGGGUAAAGGCCUACCAAGGCGACGAUCUGUAGCUGGUCUGAGAGGACGACCAGCCACACUGGGACUGAGACACGGCCCAGACUCCUACGGGAGGCAGCAGUGGGGAAUUUUGGACAAUGGGGGCAACCCUGAUCCAGCAAUGCCGCGUGUGUGAAGAAGGCCUUCGGGUUGUAAAGCACUUUUGUCCGGAAAGAAAACUUCGUCCCUAAUAUGGAUGGAGGAUGACGGUACCGGAAGAAUAAGCACCGGCUAACUACGUGCCAGCAGCCGCGGUAAUACGUAGGGUGCGAGCGUUAAUCGGAAUUACUGGGCGUAAAGCGUGCGCAGGCGGUCUGUUAAGACCGAUGUGAAAUCCCCGGGCUUAACCUGGGAACUGCAUUGGUGACUGGCAGGCUUUGAGUGUGGCAGAGGGGGGUAGAAU
rnacentral:rRNA from 1 species